rnacentral:rRNA from 1 species
UACGAAGGGGGCUAGCGUUGUUCGGAAUCACUGGGCGUAAAGCGUAUGUAGGCGGAUCGUUAAGUCGGGGGUGAAAUCCCGAGGCUCAACCUCGGAACUGCCUUCGAUACUGGCGAUCUUCGAGUCCGGGAGAGGUGAGUGGAACUCCGAGUGUAGAGGUGAAAUCCGUAGAUAUUCGGAAGAACACCAGUGGCGAAGGCGGCUCACUGGCCCGGUACUGACGCUGAUAUACGAAAGCGUGGGGAGCAAACAGG